AGUUUUCGUGCUCUGGCGAAGCGCUAGAGCUUUCACAUUCCGAGUCGGAACGUCGCGCUAAUCGCACGUUUGCUUGACGUUAGAAAAGUACGGGUCUCUCGCAUAAACGUCUGAUGCAUUUGUCAAUGUUGAGUUAGGUUAUUUACUGAUAAGUUUAAGUGAUUUUUGUUUACUUUAUGAAAUGAGAUUGUGUUUGAUUUACGUUUUUGGUAAAAUUCGAUUAUUUGUGAAAAUCUAGAACGAUCUUCCCUCGUGCAACGUACGACGCUCUUCGUCAGAAUUAAAGCUGCCUGUAGAGUGAAAUGGGCGUUCCGGAAUUUGUAGGACAAAUUUUACUUGCCUAUGUUAUCGGUGUAAAAUAGUUGGGUAGGAAUAAUGGGUGUCCUACGACCAAUCCCUGAGUCCCCCUAUUUCUUUUUCUUUUCUUCUAUAGUUAUGGAUUUGCAACUGCACAAAAAACAGCAAAAGCACCACAUUAAAUUCCUGCACGUACCUUCAAACUGAGUAAAUUGGGAAGUAAAAGACGCAUUUGCACAAAUUUAGACUUCAUAAUUACGAAGAUGCUAAAUUCCUUCUUGUUGUCAUUAAAUUCAUUAAGUUAUUCUCCAAAAAAUGCGAUCCAGUAUAGUUGGAAAAGUAUUACUGAAAUUCGUAUUCCCUAAUGAAAAGAUAAUCGAACACUAAAAGUGUCUACUUGAACUUGUUAUUCUCCUGGCAUGCAGAAACUUCAAAUUUGCAAGAGAGUCUUUUAAAGCUCUCUAGGAAAUAAUGGUUCCAAAAAUCUAAGUAGAACAGGUCGAUUUAAGGGCCAUGUUCGAUUUUCUACCCAUGAACUUUUUUGUCGGUGCGCCACUGGUAGAUUCGAGGGUAGAUUACAAAAUAAGAAUUUGGUUUUCUGAUUUGUUUGGACAUUUAUUAGUUUUAUUAUAUUAGUUUUGACCGUUUGCAUUUGUAUUUAGGAACACCCUGUGUAAUUCAU